AAUGGAGCUGGUCAGAAGAAGAAGUAUUUUUUGCAAGGUCAAUGCUGUUUACACAAUUGAUCACUCAGAAAAUCUGGAUGAUAUGCAUCUCUUGAGGAAGAAGACUGGCAGAUAGAUGAAAAAUGUGAAAUGUACUAUGGCGUAGAGAAGACAGCUGUGGAUUUGCAACGGGGAAGGCAAAGAGACAUCCAGAUGCUGUCUGGCCUGCUGAGUUCCUCUGGCAUCUUGUGUACGUUGCUUUGCAUGUCCUGCACCUACAGACUUUCUCGUGCUUGUGAUCAGAGAAGACCUUAAUCCACACUGACAAAAUGGAAAAAGUGCUGAUGCCAGAGAAGGUAGUGGGCUUGGGUUUUCGAGUUCAUAGGGUGCAUUGCAUUCACACCGCCCGGUUUGGUGAAGGCCUCCCCACAAUGUGAUGUACAGAUGCUCUGACUUUACGAUGUUGGGUUCAGGGAUUGCAGACCAUC